GACACCACCUCACCUCACACAUUUUACGACUAGGUCGUGCAUGGCUGGUCCUCGAAAAGCAGUAUAAAAGAGACACCACAUUCGCGACACUACGUUAGUUCGGCAAAAUGAAGUUCAUCCAGACUGUUUUCCUCGCGGUUGCCCUCUGCUUGGUGGCAGUAAGUGCUACCCCCAUCCUGGACCACCUCUUGGACCCGCUGAAUGGUGUGUCUGCAGCACUGAAGAGCAUUAAUGGAGGCCGCUAAAGGAUCGUGCCUCCGUCUGCGCUGAGGAUGGCUGUUUUUUGGGAGCUCUCCUUAAGCUAUGCCGCGUCUUCACGCUUAAUUAAACACUACUAAAGGAA